rnacentral:rRNA from 1 species
UACGAAGGGGGGCUAGCGUUGCUCGGAAUUACUGGGCGUAAAGGGCGCGUAGGCGGAUAGUUUAGUCAGAGGUGAAAGCCCAGGGCUCAGCCUUGGAAUUGCCUUUGAUACUGGCUAUCUUGAGUUCGGGAGAGGUGAGUGGAAUGCCGAGUGUAGAGGUGAAAUUCGUAGAUAUUCGGCGGAACACCAGUGGCGAAGGCGACUCACUGGCCCGAUACUGACGCUGAGGCGCGAAAGCGUGGGGGAGCAAACAGG